rfam:Ictidomys tridecemlineatus contig008234, whole genome shotgun sequence.
GGGGUUGUGGCUCAGUGGUAGAGCGCUUGCCUAGCAUGUGUAAGGCACUGGGUUCAAUUCUCAGCACCA